ACAUGCUUACAACAUAGCGUUAAUGCAUCAGAUUCCAUUAGAACUCCGUAGUUAAGUGUGCUCGAUAUAGAGUAGUACUAGUAUGGGUGACCGCCCGAGAAGUCUUAGUGUUUUACAUUCC
rnacentral:rRNA from 1 species